rnacentral:rRNA from 1 species
UACAGAGGGUGCGAGCGUUGUUCGGAAUUACUGGGCGUAAAGCGCGCGCAGGCGGCUUUUUAAGUCCGACGGUGAAAUGCCGGGGCUCAACCCCGUGCCCGCCGCGGAUACUGGGAAGCUGGAGACGAGUAGAGGCAAGCGGAAUUCCGGGUGUAGCGGUGGAAUGCGUAGAGAUCCGGAAGAACACCGGUGGCGAAGGCGGUCUGCUGGGCUGUGGCUGACGCUGAGGCGCGACAGCGUGGGGAGCAAACAGG